rnacentral:tRNA from 1 species
AGAGAGUUGGCUCAGUGGUUAAGAGUACUGACUCAUGUUCCAGAGGACCUGAGUUCAGUUCUCAGGCUGUCUG